rnacentral:miRNA from 1 species
AAGGCCAUGGCUGUUUGCUGCU